rnacentral:misc_RNA from 1 species
UUGGAAUAUAGUUUGGAUUCUUCUUGUUGGAGUAAUAUAUUUGAUGGCCUUGAUGAUUUCCUACAAGCAUAUAAUUCAAGUGUUUUGGGUGUACAUGCAAUCCAACCAUUGUCAGCAAUACAAUUCUUUUGGCUUUGUUCUAAUUAAGAUUAUGCCUAUGUAUAUAUAGCUAUCAAUCGCAAAUGCCCAUUUUCUAGGAAGCUAUUUCCAGAGUAGUGGCAUUUGCUGGGAAAUUAUUUAUUAGUGAAUUGCACUUUUUGUGUUUGGUUUACAGACCUUGGUAGCAAGGGAACCGGUUGCACAUUUUAGAGUUUCCAUUGUGCUCUUGUUGUAAGGGUUGAUAUCUUUAAUGGUCUCAAUAAAUUCCUCAGAAGCAUAGAAUUUAAGGUGUUUUGGUUUACAAAAAAUUAUUUAGUUUGAAAUAUUUGGGACCAAAGUGUAUUUUGAGGCAAACUUUAGGGGAUUUUGUAAGGAACCAGUCCAAUUUGUUUAAAAUCAGGUCCUGAAUGUUAAACAUUUAAUUAUAAAUGAAUGAACAAUAACAAUAUAGAGUAAGAGGAUGAAUGGAUUGCAUACAAAAGAAGUGGUUGGUAAAAAGGGAUAGAGAUGUUUACAAUAAGAUAUAUUUUAUUUUGUUUUUAUGUUAUUUUGAUAUGCUGAUGAAGCAUGAUGACAUGCAUUGGCAUGUUAAACUUUUUACUCAUGAACAGACAGAUUAGGAAAAAAAUUCUAAUGUAUAAAUUGCCCUUGAACUGGUAGAAAAAGUUUGUAGCACCCCAACCUUUUUUAUGACCCCUUGCACUGUUGUAUUUUUAUUUGUAGUUAUUGAACUCUUUACCUUUU